GAAAGUAGGGGAUCGUAAGACCUUGCGCUUUUGGAGUGGCCGAUGCCUGAUUAGCUAGUUGGUGGGGUAAUGGCCUACCAAGGCGACGAUCAGUAGUUGGUCUGAGAGGACGACCAGCCACACUGGGACUGAGACACGGCCCAGACUCCUACGGGAGGCAGCAGUGGGGAAUUUUGGACAAUGGGCGAAAGCCUGAUCCAGCAAUGCCGCGUGAGUGAAGAAGGCCUUCGGGUUGUAAAGCUCUUUCAGUCGAGAAGAAAAGGUUGUGACUAAUAAUCACAACUCAUGACGGUAUCGACAGAAGAAGCACCGGCUAACUACGUGCCAGCAGCCGCGGUAAUACGUAGGGUGCGAGCGUUAAUCGGAAUUACUGGGCGUAAAGGGUGCGCAGGCGGCUCUGUAAGUCAG
rnacentral:rRNA from 1 species